UACGUAGGGUGCAAGCGUUGUCCGGAAUUAUUGGGCGUAAAGGGCGCGUAGGCGGUCCAUCGCGUCGGGAGUGAAAAGCUGGGGCUCAACCCCAGUCCUGCUUUCGAUACGGGUGGACUAGAGGUAGGCAGGGGAGAACGGAAUUCCUGGUGUAGCGGUGAAAUGCGCAGAUAUCAGGAGGAACACCGGUGGCGAAGGCGGUUCUCUGGGCCUUACCUGACGCUGAGGCGCGAAAGCUAGGGGAGCGAACAGG
rnacentral:rRNA from 1 species